AAGGAACAUUUGCAGAUGUACUAGUGGAGGCCUGAGAAAAGGUUGUGUUUUGGAGCUUUGCCUCUGUUGCUGCACUUGCAACCCCAAAAUCACAACAUGACUAGAGGAAAACUGAGAUGCCCUGGCCAACUAUCAGCUGUGAGUGAAGCCAUCCUCAACCAUCCAGCCCCAGCCAAGCUUCCAGAAGAAGCCAAGCCCCAGCCCAAACUGCCAAUACACAGAACCAUCAGGUGGAACAUCAACCAAGCCUGGAUAUGUGGAACUAAGGCUUAUAUUGCGGGUAAUCACACAAAAUGAUGUUCUCCUUUAAUCUCAACAGUUACUCUGCAAGUUCUGCUUUGACAGAAUGGAGCAGUUCAAACCAGGAGACGAAGAAUCAAAGAUCAGCUGGGCAGAAAAGCUCCCUACCACAUAAUGAACAAGGUUACAUGGUCAGACACAGCCCCGAAGUAAGUGUGUUACUGUGCAAAGUGAGGCCAUGAGUGUAUUUCAGAAUAUUACAUUAAAAAAUGUUCUUGGGUUAUUUGCC
rnacentral:lncRNA from 1 species